GUCGGAGAGUUCUAUAUCUCAAAAUGUAUUCACGAGAAUUGAUAAUUCAGCUGAAGCUUUGCCAAGUGAAAAAAACGUUGAAUUUUUUGAAAUUAUUCUGUGAAAGGAAGUGCAAAUAUGAUUUAAUAAUCAUAGAGUUGAGGAAAAAGUCUCAUUGCAACUCGAUAUUAUUAAAUUAUUAAAUAUCAAACUAUGUAGUGAUUGGUGACGUUAGACUAAAAUGUAGACGUCAGCUCUAUGAUGCUCCCUUAAUUUCUCAUUCAAGAAAGGAUGGAUAAAAUGAGACUGAUAUCUGAGUAUGAGUUAUAUUUUGAUAAAAAUUAAAUUCAAACAUUGAAAAUGAAAUUAAAGAAUUAAAUCACCUACGUGCGUAUUCUGCAGAGGUAGCUAUUUGAAUUUUCCGCAUUAAAUUCAAAUUAAUUUUAUUGUUUAUCAAGAAAGAUAAUCGAUACAUGUAGAUAAGCCAUCUCCUGCCACAUCAGGUAACCAUCUCUCCUCUAAUUAUGAUUCGGUCGUGGAAAAUCAUUGUUGAGGCAACUAAGAGUUUCCAAAUAUAACUUGUCUCAACGAGAAAGGAUUUUGUUAAAUCUUUUGAAAAAAUCGAAACGCAGAUAUAACAUGGUCCUCCAAUAAGUUCUACAAAUUCAAGACUAGGAUGAACGAGGCAAAAAAAUUUAUGGAGAAUAAUUUAUUUCUCAAUUGAUGAAAAAAUUCUAGCUUUAGCAUUAUAUAAAUCAUCUCCUAAAGGAUAUCGCCUGUUGAGUAAAAUGUUUGCAUUACCAACAGGUGCUACUCUGAGGAGAUUAUUGCUAAAGCUAGAAUUUAAACCUGGUGUGAAUGCUCAUAUUAUGGAGCACCUUAAAAAGGUUGUUUAUAGGAUGAAUGCAAAAGAAAGAGUUGUGCACUCAUAUUUGAUGAAAUGAGUGUACAAACUUUAAUCUCCUAUAGUCCUUAUAAAGACGAAAUUGUUGGCUUCGAGGACUAUGGAGAUGAAAAAAAGGCUGUUAUAGCCGAUCAUACCAAUGUUUUUUUUAUUAAAGGUUUGUACAAAUCUUAUAAACAACCUUUGCUAUUCACAUUCAGCAGAGGAGCUAUUUAUUCUUAUGAAUUGAAAUCCCUAAUAAAAUUACUCAUAAAAGAAUUAGAAAACAUUGGGUAAGAUGUUGUGGUCACAAUUUGUGAUCAGGGCACCACCAACACAAAGGCAGUGCAAAUACUGCUUCAGGAAGGAAGACAGGAAGAACAUGACCAUUUUGGUUUUUUUGUGGACAACAAAGAGAUUGUUCCUUUAUUUGAUACUCCUCACCUCAUUAAAGGUUUAAGGAACAAUCUCUUGACAAAAGAUGCACAUUUUUUAUAAACGAUGUCCCAAAAAAAGCAAAAUGGAGCCAUAUCUUACAAUUUUAUAAUUUGGACAUAUCUGACCCACCAACGAAGAUAUGUGCCAAAUUAACAGAUUCACAUGUUCUGCCUGAAAAAAUUAAUAAAAUGAAGGUAAAGCUAUGCACACAAGUGUUCAGCAACACUGUAGGAAGUUCAAUGAAAAGAAUUUCUAAAUGGGGUGAGUUGCAAAGAACUACUUGUAUGAUGAUUUAUUCUUUAAAUUUCUACUUGACUUCCUAAUCAAGAUCCAUCUUUAUUUUAAAAUGAUACUGAAACUAAUUUUUUUUCUUUUUUGAGAUAUUAAAGACAAAUGCAGUUUACGUUCCGAAGCAGCAGACACUGCCGAAUUCAUUUUAUUUUUGGAUAAAUUAUUCGAUUCUCUCAAUGUAUCAAAGAUUCGAAAUACACAGAGUAAGUUUUUGAAAGAACCAAUAACGACUAAAUCAGAACAUGAAAUCUUUUGGGAAAACUCAAUCAAAAUUUUUGAAAAAAUGUAUUUUUACGAUGACAAAAAAAAAUGUGGUGGUACCUACCAUAAAAAAUUUUAUUUUGACUUUAAAAGCUUUCGUUUACCUUAAGAGGAGAUUGUUAACUGAAAAAAAUUUCAAAUAUAUCUUGACUGGUGCUUUCAAUCAAGAUUGCCUUGAAAAUUUUUUCAGUUAUAUCCGAAGGCAUGGUGCAAGAAACACUAAUCCAAAUAUUGGCCAGUUCAUGUCCUCUUUCAAAUGCCUUACUUUGAAAAACUUUAUGUCCUCCCAUUCUGUAGGUUCCAACUGUGAAGAGGAUUUGACAUCACAUUGUUUGGAUAAUCUAAAAUCAUUUGUUUUAUCAAAAUAUCCUUUACCUCAAAGUGUUGUGCUUGAAGAUUUAAAUAUAGUCAUUCCGAAAUUAAUAGUCCUUGAACAAAAAUCAAAAUUUAGUAGAUGUACUUUAAUUUAUAUGUGUGGAUUCAUUUGUAAAAUUUCAUUUAAAGAUAAAUUGAUCAAACAAUGUGAUAAAUGUAAAAAAAAUUAACCUUUAACAGUGAAGAAUUGGGGGACAUAGAUAUUAUUCAGGUAAGGCAGUAUAAACACGGAAAGUUGACAAAACCUGGGCAAUGUGUAUCAUUUUUAUUUCGGCAUUCUCUAAAUUACCUUUUCUAUAUUAUUCCGCGAAUUUGUGAAAAAAAAGCAUUUCCCUCUAUUUAAAAUCGUUUUUAAUGAAAUAUUUGGACUUCAAAAUUUUAAACUGUAAUGAACAUAUGUUGGGGGAAAAAGUAUGUGAAACAAUAAUAAGGUGUUCCUUGCACUAGUGGAGCAAGCAGGUAAACGAAAUUAUGAGUGGUACCGAUACAAAAUUUUCCAAGUUCCUUCUAACUUCCCCUAGUGAAGAAUUAAUAGAUCCUAUCAAAAUAGGGGCAAAAAGAAUCUUUGAUACAAAGAGAAAAAAGAAACGAUUUAUUCAUUCAUUUAAUUAUACUUAUAUUUAUUUAUUCAUUUAUUCAUUUAUUUAUUCAAAUCAAUUUAUUUAUGUUAUUCAUUUUUGUUGAAAGUAAUUUUCUUAUUGUUGAAACUAAUUUAUUCAUUUAUCGUUUAUGAUUUAAUGUUGAUGCUCCUUUAUUUAUUCAAUGUUGAUUUAGUUAUACGUAUAUUGUAUAUUUUUUGUUGAUUUUUUCAUUUUUGUUUACUGCUAAUAAAUUAUAUGUUUAUUCUACUAUCGACUUUUAUUUGCACAAAAUGUAAUAUCAUCACAUAUUAUACCAGUUAUUUAUAAAAAAAUUCAAAUGGUAUUUGUUCAUCAUUGAUCUAGUCCCGACCGCCAGGGAGAGUUAAUUUCAAAUGAUUCUAUUUUAGGUAGUGUCGCAUCUAUGUUAUCCGUAAUCUGUGCAGCGUACGAUGGAUCCAUCGGGUUCUAUAAACAUUUCUUGAAUUCAGCGCUGGAUCGUUCGGUGGCUGAUCGGAGUCCAUCGAUUGCAGCGAAAUGAAAGGCUGAUGUUUCUGCUGAAUGAAAGAGAAUGUUUAUGCAGUCAUUUCUUGGGGUUGUUUUGUCAAGUGUCAGUGUGAAGUUAAGUUUGGUUAGGUUUUUUUUUUCUUUCGAUGACGGCAUCGACUGCUAUGGUCAUUAGCCUUUAACCUAACCAUCACCGGACAUGUACAACAUCCAUGACCUACCUAGCCAGGAUUCGAACCCGGUACCUUCGGCCAGUAUAGUAUAAGGAAAGGAUAGUAAGCCAGUGAAGUGCUUUAUUCGAUUCUGUCGAUGUUGAGCGUCAUCUAGUUGUACUCACGUUUUACUCGAAUUUUACUGUCAAAAAUUGGUCCGUAAAGUGGAGCCCUCUGAAAAAAUCGGUGUUAUUUUGAAGAACUAAAAUAUUUGAAAUA